AUUGAACGCUGGCGGAAUGCUUUACACAUGCAAGUCGAACGGUAGAGGGGGCAACCCCUCGAGAGUGGCGAACGGGUGAGUAAUAUAUCGGAACGUGCCCAGUCGUGGGGGAUAACGUAGCGAAAGUUACGCUAAUACCGCAUACGAUCUACGGAUGAAAGCGGGGGACCGUAAGGCCUCGCGCGAUUGGAGCGGCCGAUAUCAGAUUAGGUGGUUGGUGGGGAAAAGGCUCACCAAGCCAACGAUCUGUAGCUGGUCUGAGAGGACGACACGCCACACUAGAACUGAGACACGGUCCAGACUCCUACGGGCGGCAGCAGUGGGGAAUUUUGGACAAUGGACGCAAGUCUGAUCCAGCCAUUCCGCGUGCAGGAUGAAGGCCCUCGGGUUGUAAACUGCUUUUGUACGGAACGAAAAGGUUUCCAUUAAUACUGGGAGCUCAUGACGGUACCGUAAGAAUAAGCACCGGCUAACUACGUGCCAGCCGCCGCGGUAA
rnacentral:rRNA from 1 species